rnacentral:rRNA from 1 species
UACGUAGGCUACAAGCGUUAUCCGGAUUCACUGGGUGUAAAGGGUCUGUAGGCGGUUUUUUAAGUCUUCUUUCAAAGACCCCGGCUCAACCGGGGGAAGGGGGAGGAUACUGGAUUACUGGAGUUAUUUCGGAGCUACUGGAACUUGUCAUGUAGGAGUGAAAUCCGUGGAGAUGACAAGGAACACCGAGGGCGAAGGCGGGUAGCCAGAAAUGUACUGACGCUCAAAGACGAAAGCUGGGGGAG